UAAGUUCAUUCCUCUCAAUGCUGAUCUUAU
rnacentral:piRNA from 1 species